rnacentral:lncRNA from 1 species
AGCUUGACCUGUAUGCAACAUACUGGAAACAUAAAGAACCCCCUACUAGAGUCCUCAUCAAAACUCUAGCUGGGUCUACAUAACAUACAUCAAGCUGGGAUUACAUCCAAAGAACUAGAACCUAACCUGUGCAUGCAUCAAACCACAAACAUAAGACCUCCUCUAGGGUCCUCAUCAAGCCAUAGCGUGGUAAACAACACAUGCCACCAGAUUAGUUCAAACAUAACUCAACAUCUAGCAUAACAUACAUCAUGUAUUAAACAGGGACUAACCAAGUCUCAGGGCCAAGCACAGUACUAAUCCAUAAACAUAACCCUACUAUACUUUACAUUACAUAACCUUAUCUCAAAAUUACAUUACAUAUCCACACUAAAAGUACUAA